UGCACAGAAAGCUGUUUGAUAACUGGCGAGGUGGACACUCCCCUCGUGGCAGCUCCGCUCCGCUGCAGCCUUUUCUGAGCUCCGCUGGCAGCGCCGCUUCAGGAACCGCUGGCUGGAGGGCCCGGAGGAUGGUGCGGGGCUCACCAGGCUUUCACCUCCGGCUUCCAGGGUCCAGGAGUCGACACGGCCGUUCACCUGGAGGUGAUGUGCUGUGGGGGCUGUCUCACACUUACAUGAGUGCGCUGCUUACAAAAAGUCACCCAGGCUCAGGGCUGCCCGGCCCAGAGCGUGGGCUUGCAGUGUCCCAGCCCUCCCCGGCCUGGGCAGGAGCCCGGCAUCAGGGGCCUUUGGGGCCUUAUCACUGUGUGCUCUGCCCUGGACGCAGCAGCUCCAUCCUGCACUGCCCAUUGGCCUUAGGACAUGGGGACAUGGGCUGCGUUCAGGAGAGCACAGGGGCAGCCACCCCUUUUCGUGUCUUUUCAGGCUCCACGACAUUGACUGACCACAGAGGACGGACUGGGAGAAGGUCUGCUGCCGCUCCAGUGCCUGAGCUGGACUCUGGCACAGAGGGCAGGGAGGCAGGGCAGGUAUCUGUCAGGUGCCCCUUUACCUGUCCAGGUGGCCAGUUUGGUGGUCAAGGCCCAGAGCCAGCUGGUACUGGCCACCCUGCAGGGGCCCCCAAGAGCUCCAACCAGCAAGAUGUGUGCUCGCCAGCACAGGGCAGUGCUCAGCCCUGUCCAUCUUGGCCUUAACCCCAGUGGUGGGGCAGCUACAGCCUGCCCUUGGGCCGCUGACCUGGCCAGUCCCGGGUCACACAGCCCCAGACUAUGGGACACCACGGUGGACUUCGAGCUGUGGGUGUUGGGAAGGUGAGAGUUACUCUCCAGAUGGGCAGGGAAUUCCAGCGGGGGGACUUGCAGAGGUGUCUUAAGGUGCUCCCCAGAAAAGGAAUGGUCCGCAGGAGAGAGCUGUGCUUUCUGUCCCCCUCUGGGGGGUUGCAGCCCAGCAGUGCCUCCCCCUCAGGGGAAGGCUCGGUCCCCUCUGGGGGACAGGAAGGAGAACCCUCUCCCCUCCUCCUCCCAGAACUCUCUGGGUACAGGCCUUGCGGGCAGGCCUGUGCUCUCCUCCCCAGCCCACUGCUUUAAGCCUGACAUGAGGAACACUGGUGGGAAAUCCAGAAUGCUUCCUUCUGCCACAUCUGGAAGUCUGAAGUCAGUCCUGGGAGGCCUGGUCAGGCCCUGCAAAGAGGCAGUGCCAGCCAGCUGUGCAGCGACGGGUCCGGAGGGCUGAGGUGGGCUUCCUGGCUCUGCCUCGUGUAGGGACAGCCCACCCAGCUGGGAGUCCCAAGGCCUGGCCAGUGUCCCUGUGGACACACAGCGCCUACCUGCAGGGCUACCGCAGCACCACUCCCUGGGACACACAUACACACGUGUGUCGGUCUGGCCGCCACGCACAUCUUCCUCACCAUGCCUCUGUGCUCCCAGUACACGAACAUCCAACCUGAUUGAAAAUAGGCGGUGAUCUUGCUCAGCGCAGGAGCCAGCGGCUUCCCCCAGGGCAUGUGAAAGGGCUCCGUAGACAUCUGACUCUUCAGGGCCACGUCCAGCUCCAUUGGGUGAGGUGCACCUGUGCUCGGAUGAAUCACAGGCACAUGCAGGCCGGCCAAGGGCCUGGGGAGCGGCUGUCCCCAACCACGGCAGGUCUCUGGUGGAUUUAUGAUUCAGGGUCAGGAAUCCAUAAACCACCUUUAUCCCCAGGAAGGAUGACGAUACAUUCACUCCAAAGAGGCCUCUGCUGGAGUCUUUGGCAAACCCUGUCAAAGCUGAAAACCACCAGACAAGGAAAUUCCAGCAGUUCUGCGGGUCCCUGAGAAGAGGCAGGGGCUGCAACCAAGAAAGGAGACUUGAGUGGAAACCUGUGCUAACCUGAGCCCGGCAGUGAGUGUACUGGACUGUGUGCACGUGUUACGAAGAAACCUGCCUAUCUUCUGAAUGAGGAAACAGACCCAGAAAGGUGAAGACAUGACCCCAAGAUUGGACAGCACGUGAGGGCCAAAGCCAGGACCCCAGCCUUGGCCUCCCGGCCCGGGGCCCUGUCCAGGAGUCCUCCCUCACACAGUCCCCUCUUCCACACAGGGAGAAGCCCCAGACAGUGACUCAGAGCCCCUCGGCAGUUUUGCUGAUAGAUUUUUUUGUUUUGAAGUAAGAUCUGCCUCUAUUAAAGUCUUUAGGAAAUUA